rnacentral:rRNA from 1 species
GACGAACGCUGGCGGCGUGCUUAACACAUGCAAGUCGAACGGAAAGGCCCUGCUUUUGUGGGGUGCUCGAGUUGCGAACGGGUGAGUAACACGUGAGUAACCUGCCCUUGACUUUGGGAUAACUUCAUGAAACUGGGGCUAAUACCGGAUAGGAGCUCCUGCUGCAUGGUGGGGGUUGGAAAGUUUCGGGGGUUGGGGCUGGACUCGCGUGGGAUUAGCUUGUUGGUAGGGUAGUGGCUUACCAAGGCGUUGAAGGGUAGCUGGGCGGAGAGGGGGACCGGGCGGACUGGGAAUGAGACACGGCCCAGACUGGGACGGGAGGGGGGAGAUGGGAAAAUAGGGGAAUGAGCGAAAGCCUGAUCCAGCCGUGCCGGGGGAGAGAUGAAGGGCUUAGGGUAGUAAAGCGCUUUUACACGGGAGGAUAAUGACAGUACCGGGAAAAUAAGCCCCGGCUAACUCCGUG